rnacentral:misc_RNA from 1 species
GCUGAUAAUGCGUUGAAUCAAAACAUCAUUUUGGAAGUGGAAGUGCUUCAACCGUGGAAAGCCUUCUCCAUCAAUAUCAUACAAUACAUUUUCAAUACCCCUCACUUCAUCCAAAUACAGAUCUUCAGUCUCCCUUAACAACACUCCAAUCCCAUGCUCCAAGUAACUACUUGUCUUGAGCUUGAGUUUUAGAGUUCUUGAAGUUUCAAAGUUUCCAUGCCAGCCCCAUACAUCUCCUAUGAGUAUUCUAUACCUCUGCAA